UGUGACAAUCUCUGGUGCACUGUAGGAAAAUGGAUUGCUUCAUGUUCCAAAAGAAGAUGUUCAGAAGGCUCAGGCAGCCAUGUUUUCAGAUCCGAACAUGGCCAUGGACAUGAUGAAGAAGAACCUGUCCAUGACAGUUCCUCAGACACUUACAUUUGCAUGGGUGAACUUCUUCUUUUCAGGUUUUGUUGCAGGUAUGUGUAUGCUACUGUGAUACCUGCUGUUUUCAUAUGCCACUCCAUGUUCAUAUUUUUAUAUCUAUCACAUGAUGCUGUAAGAACAUCAAAGUUAAUUACUGAAGUAUAAUGGUGCC